UGAAGGUCCUGGCCCGUGAUAUGCCCGGGGAGCCUCGGCAGGACAGCUCCUGGCAGAGGGUGUCCUUGGUCACAGCAGCUUCUGUGACCAAAUACUCUGGAGCAGCCCAAGAGCUGGCUGGGAGAGUGAACCCUGAGAAAAGGACCCGGGACAGAAGAGGCAUGGAAUUCCUGGGAGGAGCUGUGGGCAGAAAUGGAGAGCUGGUGGCAGAGUGUCCUAAGAGACAUAUUUGGGUUCAUAAGUUGGUGUGCUGGAUCCCAUUCCUCUUGCCUGUGGUCAUCUGAAAGUCUUUGAGAAGACAGGCCCAAAUGAAAAGGCCAAGGGACAAUGAAGGGCCCUGGGAGGUCCCUCUCCACUCGUGCAGUGUGGAGGAGGAGUGUCUCACACUUUGGGGGUGUCUCUGUUCUGGUGGACUGUGCUGAGGCACCUGUGUGGUGCCUGAAUGCUGUGGCAGCCGAGGCAGGUUCUUGGCCAGGAGAGCCUGAGUGGCCUCGAAGGUCAGAGCCCCCCCAGCGCUGCUGUUGGGCUCUGGUGCACAGGACCUUGUGGUUCCAGGGCCAGCUGGGUGGUGUGUUCUGCCCCAGAACCUGCUCAAUGCAUUCCAGGAGUUCCUCAGGGAAAGGUCCUUGUUAAAUGUCCUCUUUUUCUCUUUGUUUUAUUUCCAUGUGACCCUGAUGCCCAGCUGCUGCGGUUGGUGUGAAGCUGGUUGAGAAAUUCAUAGACGAGGCAUUCGAGUGAGGAA